rnacentral:rRNA from 1 species
AGUGAACGCUGGCGGUAGGCCUAACACAUGCAAGUCGAACGGCAGCACAGUAAGAGCUUGCUCUUACGGGUGGCGAGUGGCGGACGGGUGAGGAAUACAUCGGAAUCUACUUUUUCGUGGGGGAUAACGUAGGGAAACUUACGCUAAUACCGCAUACGACCUACGGGUGAAAGCAGGGGAUCUUCGGACCUUGCGCGAUUGAAUGAGCCGAUGUCGGAUUAGCUAGUUGGCGGGGUAAAGGCCCACCAAGGCGACGAUCCGUAGCUGGUCUGAGAGGAUGAUCAGCCACACUGGAACUGAGACACGGUCCAGGCGCCUACGGGAGGCAGCAGUGGGGAAUAUUGGACAAAGGGGGCAAGCCUGAUCCAGCCAUACCGCGUGGGUGAAGAAGGCCUUCGGGUUGUAAAGCCCUUUUGUUGGGAAAGAAAAGCAGCAGGUUAAUACCCCGCUGUUCUGACGGUACCCAAAGAAUAAGCACCGGCUAACUUCGUG